GACGAACGCUGGCGGCGUGCUUAACACAUGCCAGUCGAACGGAAAGGCCUCUUUCGGGGGGUACUCGAGUGGCGAACGGGUGAGUAACACGUGAGUAACCUGCCCUUGACUUUUGGUUAACUUCAGGAAACUGGGGCUAAUACCUGAUAGGAGCUCCUGCUGCAUGGUGGGGGUUGGAAAGUUUCGGCGGUUGGGGAUGGUCUCGCGGCUUAUCAGCUUGUUUGUGGGGUAGUGGCUUACCAAGGCUUUGACGGGUAGCCGGACUGAGAGGGUGACCGGCCAAAUUGGGACUGAGAGACGGCACAGACUGGUACGGGAGGAAGCAGUGGGGAAUAUUGCACAAUGGGUGGAAGCCUGAUGCAGCAACGCCGUGUGCGGGAUGACGGCCUUCGGGUUGUAAAACGCUUUCGCUCAUGACGAAGCUUUGUGUGACGGUAGUGGGUAAAGAAGCACCGGCUAACUACGUG
rnacentral:rRNA from 1 species